AAAGAAUUCGGCAAAAAUAUAAUAUUCGCCUGUUUAACAAAAACAUGUCUUUUAGAAAUUAAUUUAAAGUCUAACCUGCCCACUGAAUUUUUUAAAUGGCCGCAGUAUUUUAACUGUGCAAAGGUAGCAUAAUCAUUAGUCUUUUAAUUGAAGGCUGGAAUGAAUGGUUGGACGAAAUAUUAACUGUUUCAUUUGAAUUUAUAAUAAAAUUUUAUUUUUUAGUCAAAAAGCUAAAAUAAAUUUAAAAGACGAGAAGACCCUAUAAAUCUUUAUAUAUAAAUUAUUUUAAUUUUAUAGAUGUUUUUAAUUAUAAUAACUUUAUUUAUUUUAUUGGGGUGAUAGUAAAAUUUAAUUAACUUUUAAAAUUUAAAUCAUUAAUAUAUGAAUAAUUGAUCCAUUUUUAAUGAUUAUAAAAUUAAGUUACUUUAGGGAUAACAGCGUAAUUUUUUUGGAGAGUUCAUAUUGAUAAAAAAGAUUGCGACCUCGAUGUUGGAUUAAGAUAUAAUUUUAGGUGUAGCCGUUUAAAUUUAAAGUCUGUUCGACUUUUAAAAUCUUACAUGAUCUGAGUUCAAACCGGUGUAAGCCAGGUUGGUUUCUAUCUUUAAUAAAUUUAUAUAUUUUAGUACGAAAGGAUUAAAUAUA
rnacentral:rRNA from 1 species